rnacentral:rRNA from 1 species
GACGAACGCUGGCGGCGUGCUUAACACAUGCAAGUCGAACGAUGAACCGGGUGCUUGCACUUGGGGAUUAGUGGCGAACGGGUGAGUAACACGUGAGUAACCUGCCCUGGACUCUGGGAUAACCCCGAGAAAUCGGAGCUAAUACCGGAUAGGACCUUUCCUCGCAUGAGGUUUGGUGGAAAGUUUUUCGGUCUGGGAUGGACUCGCGGCCUAUCAGCUUGUUGGUGAGGUAAUGGCUCACCAAGGCGUCGACGGGUAGCCGGCCUGAGAGGGUGACCGGCCACACUGGGACUGAGACACGGCCCAGACUCCUACGGGAGGCAGCAGUGGGGAAUAUUGCACAAUGGGCGCAAGCCUGAUGCAGCAACGCCGCGUGCGGGAUGACGGCCUUCGGGUUGUAAACCGCUUUUAGUAGGGAAGAAGGGCUUCGGCUUGACGGUACCUGCAGAAAAAGGACCGGCUAACUACGUGCCAGCCGCCGCAGUAACAC